rnacentral:rRNA from 1 species
UACAGAGGGUGCGAGCGUUAAUCGGAUUUACUGGGCGUAAAGGGUGCGUAGGCGGUUUUAUAAGUGUGAUGUGAAAGCCCUGGGCUUAACCUAGGAAGUGCAUCGCAAACGGUAAAACUAGAGUAUGAGAGAGGGUGGCGGAAUUUCCGGUGUAGCGGUGAAAUGCGUAGAGAUCGGAAGGAACGUCAAUGGCGAAGGCAGCCACCUGGCUCAAAACUGACGCUGAGGCACGAAAGCGUGGGGAGCGAACAGG